rnacentral:rRNA from 1 species
CCUACGGGAGGCAGCAGUGAGGAAUAUUGGUCAAUGGACGAGAGUCUGAACCAGCCAAGUAGCGUGAAGGAUGACUGCCCUAUGGGUUGUAAACUUCUUUUAUAUGGGAAUAAAAUGUUCCACGUGUGGGAUUUUGUAUGUACCAUAUGAAUAAGGAUCGGCUAACUCCGUGCCAGCAGCCGCGGUAAUACGGAGGAUCCGAGCGUUAUCCGGAUUUAUUGGGUUUAAAGGGAGCGUAGGUGGAUUGUUAAGUCAGUUGUGAAAGUUUGCGGCUCAACCGUAAAAUUGCAGUUGAAACUGGCAGUCGUGAGUACAGUUGAGGUGGGCGGAAUUCGUGGGGUAGCGGUGAAAUGCUUAGAUAUCACGCAGAACUCCGAUUGCGAAGGCAGCUCACUGGACUGCAACUGACACUGAGGCUCGAAAGUGUGGGUAUCAAACAGGAUUAGAUACCCUUGUAGUC